rnacentral:rRNA from 1 species
GACGUAGGGCGCGAGCGUUGUCCGGAAUUAUUGGGCGUAAAGAGCUCGUAGGCGGUUUGUCGCGUCUGUCGUGAAAGCUUGGGGCUUAACCCCAAGUCUGCGGUGGAUACGGGCAGACUAGAGGCAGGUAGGGGAGAACGGAAUUCCCGGUGUAGCGGUGAAAUGCGCAGAUAUCGGGAGGAACACCGGUGGCGAAGGCGGUUCUCUGGGCCUGUACUGACGCUGAGGAGCGAAAGCGUGGGGAGCGAACAGG